GCCCUACAGAGAGGGCAUCUUCAUUUCAUUAGCACAACAAACUAGCAGCGGAGCUCAAACAAGAAUGCCAAACAACGAUUAAGGUUUCAUCUGUUUGACUGUUUCUAAUAGUCCUUACAAGAACGAGAGCUGCACUAGGUUCCCUAAGUCUUGGAUGCCCCCUGUGAAGCUGCAGCCAAUCAGGAUUCUGAGAAGCAUAGUACAGUAGGUAGGUCAGUGACUGCUGUUGUAAAAUAUGCAAGUCAAGGAUGUGCACUAAGGAUAAUGUAGGCAUACAGUGUCGUAAGCUGGCUCAGUUCCCCGAUUGCAGCUGGCAGUGGACCGCCAAGACCAGUAUUGAAGGAGAGGUCCCUGCAAGCACCAAGCACCCUAACAUAUAUGAGCAAAGCAGUAUAUUAUACUUUAUCGAGCAUAUGUUCGUGGCGACUGAAAUAACAAUACCAGUGAUUUGGAAAGCUCUGAUAAUGACAAAGUUAUUGGUUUGUUCUUCCAUUCUUUGUGCAAGGGCGGUCAGCACCGGACUCUUCUACACAUUCCAUAGCCAACUGCACGAAUCUCCUGAAGCCAAAUAAUUUUGCCGAAUCCUUGAUUGCCGGAUCAAUUAGGCUUGUCAAGCCAUAGUACUCUUGAUCGUACUGGUCAACUGCGGUUCUGAUCUCACGCACAAUGUGGAUUCGCAAGCUCAUGGAGGUAUGCUAGACCUUUAGCAGACCCAAUGGCGAUCCGAAGUCGCUUCAUCCAAUCCAAGUGUAUCCCUCCUUUACCUGCAGUAAAGCUAUGUUCUGUCAGGUUAGGCAGGUUGCCGAUACUAUCAGGUACCGGACCAUUGAAUUGGUUAUGAUCUAGUCGGCUGAAACAAGUUGAGUGUGAGCAAAAAAAAAGAGUCAAGGAAUUGCACAGAAGGGGAGUGAGACAAAGAAAAACCGUUAUCAAGUAUGUACAUAAUUUGAAGUGUUUUGACAAGUCCAAGAGAUUCUGGGAUUGAUCCAGUAAAUUUGUUGUUGUCAAAUAUCCUGAAAAUGAUUACCAGAACUAGUCACAUGGUAUGAAAGAACAGAUGACGUUAGCAAGUGCAAGUCAAUACAGUGCUUACGCAUGUACAAGAGUCAUAUUGGCACUGAAAAGACGGUCCAUUGGACCUGUCAACUGGUUCUCGCUAAAAUGGCUGUUGAUUCAGAUGGAUGGAAAAGCAGAUAUGGAAAUUAGUACAUUUAAGCAGCAGGGCAUUCGUUAUUCCUUUUAAUGUAGAGCUGGUACAACAUCUGAGUACUUACAAAUGCUUGGUGUUGACAAGUCUAUCCAACCCUGGGGCUGAACUUGUUGAAACUGGGAUUUGUCCUGAAAGUUGAUUGGCCGACAAGUCCAACCAAAAGAGAUCUGUGAGAAGGCCAAGUGCUGAGGGUAUUCUACCAGUGAACUGAUUUGAGUUUAGGGCCCUGUAUAAAAGUAAUAUGUCAAUUGAAUUGUGUCACCUCAUAAACAGAAUAAUGUUCAUUCAGGAUUUCCGUCCAAAUUUCAGGGAAUUCUUACAGAAAUGUGAGCUGUCUUAAGUUCCCUAUCUCCUCUGGGAUGUUACCAGUGAAGCUGCAUCCGAGCAAAAUCCUAAAAGAAAAGAUAUGUCAGCUUUUCCUCUCUUUUUUUGGGUCAUCUCCACAAACCCCAAAGAGGAUUUAUGUUGUUGUGUGGUCACUGGUCUUACAGAGUGGUGAGCUGCUUCAGAUUUCCGAUGUUUGGAGUAAGUGGACCGCCAAUACUUGGAUUGUUAGACAGAUCCCUGCAUGUAGUUCAUAUCAGUAGUCUAAAGCAUAUCAUGUUCUAGAUCUCUAGAUGAUUUUGUAUGCUGAUCCUCGUUCCUGGAGUCGCAUCUGUUACAGCGUGGUUUUGUUGAGAAAACACUGCAGUUCUUUUAAAACUGACUAGCUGAGGAAGCAUGGGCUUACAGAUAUGUCAAAGCAGAGAGUUUGUCUAUGCCGUUGCUUAAUGUGCCUUCCAUGUUCAUGCUUGACAAUCUCCUGCAGAUAGCAAGUUUCAGCGGUUUGAUUGUUAAAAAAAGAAGUAAAAGAUGACUGCUGAUAAAGUUGAGCACUCACAUUUCUGUCACUCUCCCAUUAGAACAGGAGAUUCCAUCCCAGGAGGUGCAGGGAUCGGUCGACCCUGUCCAGCUUUGUGGUUCAUUCCGCCAAUUUGUCAUCAAUGCUUUCAGUGCAGCAACUGUAUAAAUUAUUAAGGUAACAUUAGACGGGCGCUUUUAUGAGAACAACUCCAAUAGUCGAUCUCACUCCUGGCAUGGAUAUCAACCACUAAUCUUAUUUGUAUGGGAGAUAGAUACAAGUAUCAUUGUAGAGAAUUUAAGAGAAGUCUUGGUCCAAGAAAGGAGUGCUUCUUUCAACUCUCAAUUGUACUGUCAGGAAAGAAACACUGUUUCAGUUUCUAUCAUGGGAACCUAUUCCUCCGUACAUUAGCAGGAGCUCCCAAAUUUGAUAAAUUUGACCAACCAUGGAUUUGAUCUACUACAGUUUUAGUUUUGCACCAUCUAGCAUAACAAAUUGAUUGUAAUAAUGACAAAAGGUUUAAGAGUUAACUCUUAAGGCUACCUAAUAAAAAAACAGAAGCAAGUGGUAAAUUAUGUUCAUCCUAUGCUCAUCUUGUUCUCGGGAAAACGGCUGCUCAGAUGGCAACUUACGGACGGCAACUUUCUUCCUAUAAGACUAUAGCCCGAUAAAAAGCAUGAACGAUUGUGGCUUACCAUCUUCGGAGUCCGUCUGGCUGAAGCUUGACUGGAAGCCCGCCAAGAGCAAGAACAGAAGUAACACCCACUGCAUCGCUACUCCACCACGUCGUCCUGGACUUUGCAGCAAAUCAAGGCCACUUCAAUCCAGAAACAACUUCGAUAGAUCUUCUUGUGGGUGAAGUCUACCCAAUGAGCAAGUUCAUGGAGGAGCUAGCAGCUACCAAAUGGCGUCCUCUCCGGUCCUUCCUGAGGUGAGGCCUGCUAUUAAUUUAUACGAACUAUCAAUAUGAAUUUUCAGGCAAGGGACCUGCCAGGAACCAGCCCUGUUGAUGUGGAUGUGGCAUCAGGAGUUGGAUUCAUGGCUGGCCAUGAGUCCCCUUGAAGGCGUCUCCGAAUCUGCAUACGGUUGGUCAUGAUAAAAAAAGAUUCGGGGAAUGGAUCAUCCUUUAUAUUAUCUGGGUUACUCGAGAUAAUAAAAGCUGUGAGUUACUUUUCUUGAUUGGACCAUCAGAAGCACCACAAUGGUCUGUUCGAGCUGCAAGAAAGGACGGCAAUCUUUUGGACCUGCCCGGCCAGCAUCCUUCCUUUGUCGUCAUUGCUGAAGGCCUAGCUUACAGAUUGAAAUGCAGGUACGUCCUGAUGCAUGAUGUAGCGAAUGCAGUCGAGGCAGGCAACGCCAAAGGACAUCUUAAUGAAAUGCGAAGAAGUUUGCACACAGAAAGAUCCUUCUGCGAUUGGCCAAACUGAACUGCAGGCCAAUGAUUUAUUUCUGGAGGAGCCGAUGCAGUGCAGAACUAGUGACUGCCAAUUGGCGCACGCGAAGGGGAUGCAAGAGCUAGACGCCGGAAGCCCUGUCGCCCUGACCCACUGGGCAGGUAAGUACCGUACGUGUGCAUGCAUCAUGCAUGGACUACAACCACAACGUUUGAAGCUGUCAAACAUGACGCCAAAACGGCCGGGGCCGGUCUUGGAAAGCGACCCACGCUGAGUCCCUGCCCUGACAUUUUCUGUUCCGCCAGCUCCAGCCUCCAGCGUGACGCUCACCUGCUGUCGCUCCAGUCCAUAGCCAUCGACGACGGGUCAAGCGCGAACGCCUGUCCCCUGCUUGAGUUGAGGACUUGAGGCGCAUAUGCAUCGACUGUAUCGACAUGGAUCACAAGCAUCCGCCGUCAGAAUCGCCGCCCUUGCUAGGUGCUCCCCCCGUGUAACUGUAAGCUAAAAUGUGUCCAAACAAGGUGCAGCCAGCCGUAUGCUGCUCCCUGUUAUUUCGUUUGAGAUUAUUAUUUUUUCUCCGAUGGGGGAUCUCUUGCGUC